rnacentral:rRNA from 1 species
CGGACGGGUGAGUAAUGUCUGGUAAACUGCCUGAUGGAGGGGGAUAACUACUGGAAACGGUAGCUAAUACCGCAUAACGUCGCAAGACCAAAGAGGGGGACCUUCGGGCCUCUUGCCAUCAGAUGUGCCCAGAUGGGAUUAGCUAGUAGGUGGGGUAACGGCUCACCUAGGCGACGAUCCCUAGCUGGUCUGAGAGGAUGACCAGCCACACUGUAACUGAGACACGGUCCAG